GACGAACGCUGGCGGCGUGCCUAACACAUGCAAGUCGAACGAGGUCCAGGGGAGCUUGCUCCCUGACGACCUAGUGGCGAACGGGUGAGUAACACGUGAGAAACCUGCCUCGGAGUGGGGAAUAACUCGGGGAAACUCGAGCUAAUACCGCAUACCUUCACAUGAUCGCAUGGUCGAGUGAAGAAAGAAUUUCGCUCUGAGAGGGUCUCGCGGCCUAUCAGCUUGUUGGUGGGGUAACGGCCUACCAAGGCAACGACGGGUAGCUGGUUUGCGCGAGCGAUCACCCACACUGGGGCUGAGACACGGCCCGGACUCCUACGGGGGGCAGCAGUGGGGAAUGUUGCGCAAUGGGCGAAAGCCUGACGCAGCAACGCCGCGUGCGGGAGGACGGCCUUCGUGGUUGUAAACCGCUUUCAGCAGGGACGAAAAUGACGGUACCUGCAGAAGAAGCCCCGGCUAACUACGUGCCAGCCGCCGCAGUAA
rnacentral:rRNA from 1 species